UAAAAUCUAAAAUGUCUUUAAGAGACCAAUAGACUAAUUAAGCCUAAUUUUUUUGACAAAACUUUAAUUAAUAAUUAUAUCUUAAAUAAAAUAACUUUUAAGCCACUAGAUUUGGUCUAGUGGUGAGGGAUUUGGGUAGUACUCUAUAUAUCAUGAGUUCGAUCCUCAGCUCAUUGUAAACUAAAAAAAUAAAAUAACUUUUGAUU
rnacentral:lncRNA from 1 species